GCUGGGCGUGGUGGCGGGUGCCUGUAGUCCUAGCUACUUGGGAGGCUGAGGCAGGAGAAUCGCUUGAACCCAGGAGGUGGAGGUUGCAGUGAGCCGAGGUUGCACCACUGCACUCCAGCCUGGGUGACAGAGCGAGACUCUGUCUCAA
rnacentral:SRP_RNA from 2 species